UGGGGAAUAUUGGACAAUGGGGGCAACCCUGAUCCAGCCAUGCCGCGUGAGUGAUGAAGGCCCUAGGGUUGCAAAGCUCUUUUGUGCGGGAAGAUAAUGACGGUACCGCAAGAAUAAGCCCCGGCUAACUUCGUGCCAGCAGCCGCGGUAAUACGAAGGGGGCUAGCGUUGCUCGGAAUCACUGGGCGUAAAGGGUGCGUAGGCGGGUCUUUAAGUCAGGGGUGAAAUCCUGGAGCUCAACUCCAGAACUGCCUUUGAUACUGAAGAUCUUGAGUAUGGGAGAGGUGAGUGGAACUGCGAGUGUAGAGGUGAAAUUCGUAGAUAUUCGCAAGAACACCAGUGGCGAAGGCGGCUCACUGGCCCAUAACUGACGCUGAGGCACGAAAGCGUGGGGAGCAAACAGG
rnacentral:rRNA from 1 species